GUCUUUGUCUUAUAUUCUUCUCAUUUAUGUUGCCGGAGUUGCGGUAAAAGAAAGUUGUGCAGGUACAUAUUACCAAAUGGCACUUCAUUAAUUGUCCAGCUCAACAGCUAUUGAUUUAUUUCAGAUUCGGUUCCCACUCCCACUAUUGUAUUUUCCCCUGAUUACAUCAAUGUAGCUACACCUGUUACAGUACGCUGUGAGUCACCAGAAGGCACAGAGUGCAUUUUCUACAGAGAUCACGACCCCAAACCUAUAAGAACAGUGGAUUACAAGCAGGGUGCUUGCCAGUUCAAGUUGUUAUGG